rnacentral:sRNA from 1 species
AAAAAUAUAUAUAUAUAUAUAAUAAUUACAUAUAUGUGUUUUAUUUAUAUAUUGCUUUUUUUUUUUUUUUUUUUGUGAUACAUUUUUGUUUUGUUGUUCAUCCUAUAAUAUCUCAUUAUCUUGUUCAUAUUUUAAAAAAAAAAACGCUAUUAUAGUAAAUAUAAAGUUAAAAGAUUGGAAAAUGUAUAUAUAUUUUCACAUAUAACAUAUGCCAUAAAAAAAAUAUUACAUAUUUAUAUAUAUUAUAUACAUAUGCCAUAUAUUUUCAUUUUAUG